rnacentral:rRNA from 1 species
CAGUCGCCGCGGGAAUACGAAGGGGGCUAGCGUUGUUCGGAAUUACUGGGCGUAAAGCGCACGUAGGCGGAUAUUUAAGUCAGGGGUGAAAUCCCGCAGCUCAACUGCGGAACUGCCUUUGAUACUGGGUAUCUUGAGUAUGGAAGAGGUUAGUGGAAUUGCGAGUGUAGAGGUGAAAUUCGUAGAUAUUCGCAGGAACACCAGUGGCGAGGGCGGCUAACUGGUCCAUAACUGACGCUGAGGUGCGAAAGCGUGGGGAGCAAACAGGAUUAGAUACCCCAGUAGUCCCUGUCUCUUAUAC